UUGCUUCAGCAGCACAUGUACUAAAAUUGGAAUAAUACAAAGAAGAUUAACAUAGAACCUGCCCAAGGGUGACACCUAAAUCAUGAAACAUUUCAUAUUUAA